rnacentral:rRNA from 1 species
CCUACGGGUGGCUGCAGUGGGGAAUAUUGGACAAUGGGGGCAACCCUGAUCCAGCCAUGCCGCGUGUGUGAAGAAGGCCCUCGGGUUGUAAAGCACUUUCAGUGAGGAAGAACGCCUGGUGGUUAAUACCCAUCAGGAAAGACAUCACUCACAGAAGAAGCACCGGCUAACUCCGUGCCAGCAGCCGCGGUAAUACGGAGGGUGCGAGCGUUAAUCGGAAUUACUGGGCGUAAAGCGCGCGUAGGUGGCUUGAUAAGCCGGUUGUGAAAGCCCCGGGCUCAACCUGGGAACGGCAUCCGGAACUGUCAAGCUAGAGUGCAGGAGAGGAAGGUUGAAUUCCCGGUGUAGCGGUGAAAUGCGUAGAGAUCGGGAGGAAUACCAGUGGCGAAGGCGGCCUUCUGGACUGACACUGACACUGAGGUGCGAAAGCGUGGGUAGCAAACAGGAUUAGAUACCCCGGUAGUC